rnacentral:snRNA from 14 species
AUGCUUACCUGGCAGGGGAAAUGCCAUGACCACUAAGGUGGUUUUCCUAGUUGCAGGGGAAAACCACUUCCUUGGCAGGGGAUAGUACCUUGACUAAGGUAAGGCAUAGUCUCCCACUUCCUCUUCCAGUAGGAAGAUCUUGGCUGUAUGCCCAUUUUAUGGAACCAGGAGACUCCUCCCUAGGUUGCUCCUG